rnacentral:misc_RNA from 1 species
AACAAAGCAUCUUAAUUAUUUACUCGACAAUGCAACAGCCAAUCAUAUAUAUCCACAUAUCAAUGUACAUGUUUACACAGACCUCCCAUGGACAAAGACUAUCAAAUCAGAUUCAUAAACAGACAGAGAAGGCCAAAGAAAAAGUCAUUUCCUUACCCAUUUUCAUUCAUACACAAUACGUAGAUGCCUCCAUCAUGUUUGGUGUGCAAAUUCAGGCGUCGGCAAGCAGAGACGCAAUUCCAACAGAUGAUACAGUGUUGUCACCACGAGGUUCGCCCGGACAAGCGUGUAUUGCUUUGCAAAUAUCUGUUUGUUCCAGAAUUUUCUCCGAGUUGGCAAGGAUCAGAGGCCCAUAUUCAAAUACCAAUUUCUUGCACUCUUUCACGCGGUACCCGAAAGAGUCACACAUAUUCAGAAGGGUCUGAAGUAUCUCUAUCUGUGUGUCAGGAUCCUUCAACUUAUCCAAUAUUUUUGUAACAGUCUGAUGGCAGAAUUCACAGUUAUGAUCCUGAAUCUGCGAGGAGAUUAUAGUAACUUGCUCACAGAAGCGGACUGAUUGGCAGAUGCUAGCAGGUUCAAUUGAGGAAAUCUCUGAGAAGAAGAGAGGAACAUAGCUGUCCACCAGACUGAUGCACUCCUCCUUGAACACGCCCGCCGCACCACAUGUUUGCCGGAGAAUACCAAUAAUCUCACUCUGGGUCUGGUUAUCUGCAAAAUAUUCAACUGCCUGACUGACCAAAGUCUCACAAAGUUUACAUAUCUUUGGAUUGCUCGAAGCUUCAGAUAAAGCCACAACGUCCUUCUCUCGCUCCAGGUAGCUUAACUCAGAAUCAAAUGAUGCCAAAUUUCUAGCAUCACAAUCCCAAGCAACACCCACCACAAGAAGGAAAACAAUUCCAAACCUCAAAUCCAUAGCGCCUGAUGCCUACCUUUGCUUAGACAACCAGGCUUUGGUUCUCCCUUCUUCAGAGGCGUCCGCAAGAGACGACAGGAUUCCUCUUCUACUAUUGGGUUGAAAAUUAG